AUACGAAGGGGGCUAGCGUUGUUCGGAUUUACUGGGCGUAAAGCGCACGUAGGCGGAUUGUUAAGUUAGGGGUGAAAUCCCAGGGCACAACCCUGGAACUGCCUUUAAUACUGGCAAUCUCGAGUCCGGAAGAGGUGAGUGGAAUUCCGAGUGUAGAGGUGAAAUUCGUAGAUAUUCGGAGGAACACCAGUGGCGAAGGCGGCUCACUGGUCCGGUACUGACGCUGAGGUGCGAAAGCGUGGGGAGCAAACAGGAUGAGAUACCCUGGUAGUCCACGCUGGAAACGAUGGAAGCUAGCCGUCGGCAAGUUUACGUGUCGGUGGCGCAGCUAACGCAUUAAGCGUCCCGCCUGGGGAGUACGGUCGCAAGAUUAAA
rnacentral:rRNA from 1 species